UACAGAGGUCUCGAGCGUUAGGCGGAAUCACUGGGCUUAAAGCGUGUGUAGGCGGAUCGGUAAGUACCUUGUGAAAUCCCACAGCUUAACUGUGGAACUGCUUGGUAUACUGCCAGUCUUGAGCCACUUAGGGGCUACCGGAACAAAUGGUGGAGCGGUGAAAUGCGUAGAUAUCAUUUGGAACGCCAAUGGUGAAAACAGGUAGCUGGGAGUGUGCUGACGCUGAGACGCGAAAGCGUGGGGAGCAAACAGG
rnacentral:rRNA from 1 species